UUUGCAGAGUUAUCCAGGUUUGCACCUCAUUUGGUGGAGAAUGAGGAACGUAUGACGCGGAUGUUUCUGAGAGGUUUGAAACCCGACAUACGUUAGUAUCUCAUCUCUCAUAAAUUUUCUCUUUAUUCAGAUGUUGUUAAUAGGGCUCAAUUGUUAGAGCGAGAUAACGAGUACGGUCAACCGAGGUACCACAAUCAGGAUCAUACCGGAGAUAGCAGUCAACAAAACAACAAUAACCAGUGGAGAAAGAAAAAGACGGACAAAAAUGGUAACCACUCUGGUGGUAAUCAUGGCCAUGAAAAUAGAAGAAGCGAGUUAGGAGGAGAUUUUAAAAAGAGGAGAUUCAACAACGACCAUGUGAAGACGACAGUGCCAGCA
rnacentral:lncRNA from 1 species